AUGCAUUUGUUCAGCACGUUGGGAGCCCACACCCAACACCACAUGUUCCAGAUUGAUUGCAAAAUAGAGGAUAUUAAGCCCUUCAUGAUGUGCUUAGCUUGAAUUAUUACUUUUUUUGUGGGAUCUCAUCUAAAAAGAAAGGGAACACUGUCACAACUUUGCUGUCAUAUGAAGGCAAAUGAAAUGAAGAAACUGAGAAGAUAUGCAGUUAUUGCACAAAAACUUUAGUUUAAUAUGGUUUUAUUAACUAUAAUGAGCAUGUCAAAAUUCCAAACAUCUUGUAAACCCUUGCACCCAAAAGAUUUAGCAUUCCAGAGAUAACAGCUUGCCUUUGGUACAUUCCUCUAGUAUAGAUGACACAAAAACAUCAACAUAGCUGGCUGUAAGGGGCGAGGUAGCCUACAUGAAGUACAUUAUAGGGGCAUUAUCACACAGAUUAAUCAAACCCCAAAUAAACACCCAUUUAAUCCAGACAGCUGUUGAGUCUGGGGGAGAUGUUAUUGUGGAUUACAGUCUGGGGUCUGAUUGAAGGACUGGUGAUGUCAUAGCUGACAUUCACUGGAGGGCAUGGGGCCAGCCCUGGAGUGGACCUCCUGAGGGAACACAUCUGGGUUCUAGAGCACUGACCGUGUUCCUCCCAGAACUCCCACCCACCAACAACGGACUAGAGGAGUGAGGUUCUGAGCCAAAUCUGGGCUGGACCCCUAAAAUGUCAGCUCUCCGAAGCAAAGACAGAGCAGCAUGAUGAUGUAGCCGGGCUAAACUAGGGUGGAUCUAAUCUCUAAUCUAAUGAAUGCGGACCCAACCCCAAUAGAGAAGCCCUUACUUACAGCCUCAAGAGAGAACAGACUCAUGUUGUAACAAAAUGUCAUUGUUUUUCUAUAGAUUAGAACAUAGCCCCGGGGGAUAGCCUUUACCUUGUGUGCUGAGGCUAUUUUCCCAAGUACGGUACUCAAGGGGACAUCUUUUGAGUAAAAACAUGUAUUAACAAUCACCUAAGAAAAACAAAUCAUGGCCUAAUCCUUGUGUCCACAGUGCCAUCCAUCUGUCUCACUCAGCGAGACAGUAUUUUGACACCCCUAAAAAAAUAUUCUCAAUAUUCAAAUUCACCCCUUUCACAUUAAAAGCGAGGAUUACAGGAUUACACAAACACAGUAUUUAUACCCUGAUUUGUGUUACACUGCAAGCAAGCCGUGUGAUGACAUGAUUGUUUAUAACUAGGUUGGUGUCGUAGACAGCCAAACAAAAACCUGGAUGAGACGGUUGUUUUCAUCCACCAGAGUAUGAGAAAUGAUCUGCAGUGAAUAACUGAAGUCGGAACACAGGUUUAACUAAACAAAUUAAUAUACAAAAACACAUCCCUAUUGUAUAAUUUGGCCGAGGGACAAGCGUCCAUGUUCACGCCCCAUAUCUAUGCAUUUAAGGCUGAGGGGGAAGCAAAGCUGUAGUCUAUAUCCCUUCCCUGCCACUGACAGGGCAAAAUGGUGUCAUAAUGGAGGGACAUUCAUGUGGAGAGAGCUCCAGUGUGCUGUGUUUAAACAGUAAUAGAGCCGGACUGCUCCCUAGAAGACCGCCCCUUACUCCUUUAUUCUCUGUGAAUGGCUGAGUGUUCCAAAUCUGAUACAACAAUCAGUCAUAACUGCCCAUUGUCCCGCUCUAAAUUCCCUUAUUCAGCUUCCAUUAGUGCAAUGAGGCGCGGAGACGGUUGCUCCCAAAGGGUCACUUGGUUCCAUAUGUGGGGUCCAUCUCAGCACAGGUGCACGGGGGUUCCCAAGGACAUAUAUUGCAGGUGUUGAAAAUCAGUACUUUCUGGUGGAUGUCAUUUUCAUGGACAGCAACUACUCAACGUUUUCCCAAACUAUACUAGCCUCCCUCCACAGCAACGAUCUGAACCUGAAUGAUGCCUGGGCAGUGGUCACAGAUAAUGCAUCCUUACUGCCUGAAGGCAUACAAGGUGGUUCUGAAAGGAGUGAUGCCCAACAGUGUCCAUGUAACCCGUCUCUGCCAUGUCAUCAAUCUGGUGGGUGAGACCAGGCAGCACUACAAAGAAAAAAGAAAGCGCCCCCUUUUCAGGACACUGUCUUUCAAAGAUAAUUUGUAAAAAUUGUGACGACCCUCCCACUCGGUCUGCCGUAUUCUUUACGUUUGCUAUUGUUUUCCGUAAAUAGGAUGUCGGUAGGCGGGGCUGGGAGGGUCAUCAGCGACAUGAGACACACCUGGGCCCGGGUGUGUCCCGGGAUAAAUACACCUCUUACCCAUUCAUUGAGGAGACUCUCUCCAUGCAGACACACUGACAUUUUUGUGGUCAUUUUAUUUGUUUGAUUCGUCACCUUUCAACACCCCUCAUUAUCACAUUUAUGCACGCAACCACUCACACUGGUGAUUAUUGACUACACACACACAUACAAAAUUGUUAAUUGUAUUUAGUUCAGUUAAUAAAUAUAUUUUGUUAUUCCUUAA